rnacentral:piRNA from 1 species
UGCAGGGUUUAGUGUAGAGGG